UACGGAGGGGGCUAGCGUUGUUCGGAAUUACUGGGCGUAAAGGGCGUGCAGGCGGUCUGUUAAGUUCAGGGUGAAAGCUCCCGGCUCAACUGGGAGAGGUCCUUGGAUACUGGCAGACUUGAGGGAGGUAGAGGAGAGUGGAAUUCCCGGUGUAGUGGUGAUAUGCGUAGAUAUCAGGAGGAACACCGGUGGCGAAGGCGGGUCUCUGGGCCGAUACUGACGCUGAGGAGCGAAAGCGUGGGGAGCGAACAGG
rnacentral:rRNA from 1 species